UUGAACUUAUAUCAAACGAUGACAAAUCUAAUAUAGAAAAGUACGAGAUAUAACAUCCUUCCCCCCUUUAGAAACACUCGUCCUCGAAUGUUAACUCUUAGAGACUAACAAAAUUUUCGCUAUGGUCUCCUCUGUAAACUAAACUAAAACUCAACCUCUGUCUGAAGUCUGGACUAUUGAUCAUAAUCUUUUGUACUUGAGUAUCUCGUAUCUUUCUCACCUUUACCUUACUUACCAUUCAAUCUCACAUCGUAUCUUCUGUCGCUUUCAUAACCUCCCUUCCACAUAGGUGGAAAUUACAUCCACACCUUAGAGCUGUACUAUGAUACCUGCACCUGGUGCAUACAAAAUAUGGUGAAAACUUCAUACUAACUUCUUACGGCUCGGCUCUAUGGCAUGAUAUGGAAACAAAAGAAGGCUAACAUUUCUUAAAUGCCCUAUAGCCUCUAAAUUAUAAGUGUGACACGCAACACACCCAUAAGUGAGACUCUACUAGGCACGACUUUGUAGACUCCCUAGGACACAGCCUGCUCUGAUACUACUUUGUCACACCCCAAACCUGGGGAGACGUGGCUGGCACCCGGUGUCGUACUGGCCCGAGCGAAUCACUCUGUAACUCUUUUUUUUUUGUAACUAUCAUGGGCCAAUAUGGUCACAACUUGUAAUGUAUAACUAUAAGUUGGCAAACGCUGUAUCAAUGAACUAUCGUUCUUAAAACAUGAAUACAUAUGGGCUGUCAAGGCCUCUGAUGUACUAUACAAAAUGAACCUCUGUAUACAAUGCCUUUAAGAUUAUUUGACAUCAAAUGAGAUAGGGCCUCGCCUAACCAUAAGUCUGUAGCAAAACUCUGACACGAUGACUUAUAGACUCGGCUGCACUCCGAAUGAAGUGGAGUCUUACUGAUCCUUCGCUGAAUGCUAACCUCGUCUACUAUGAGGGCUCGUCAAACUGAUUACCUAUACAUGCAGGCAUGAAUGCAAUAUCCACAACAAAAAGGAUGUCAGUGCGAAUAAUAUACCGAGUAUAUAAGGUGGAACUGAAACAUAACAAUAAGUCAACAUUUAUUAAAGACAUAUAAGAAUCAACCUGAAUCUCUAAAGUGCCACCAUAUAUGCAUACUUAUUAUACUUAUAUAUAUAAUGCUUCUCUUUGAGACUAUUAUCUAUAUCGUAUGAUGUAUGACUGCCCAACUGAUCAGUGGUAACUGCCUGAUCGGUGUCGCACGGUGAUAAAUGUAUGACUGGACAACCGGCCAUAGCACGGUGGUAAUGCAUGACUGCCUGACCGAACGUAGCACGUUGGUAAAUGAAGAUGCAUGUGUCAUUAUAUUGUGAACAUUAACAUCUUUAUCAUAUACCUUAAUAGAGACUUAGGAACAUACUUAGACAUGCUUGAAUAUCAUUUUACAGGAAUGAAUAACAUAGACAUCCUUAACUGCUAAGAGUAGAACCACUUAUGGAAUAACAUUACGUUUACGUAUCGUUACUUGGAUCAUGCCAAAAGAAGGAAGGAUUAGGCUUAACAUACCUGACUUUAACCCAGUAGUUCAAGAGCUCAACUCGUAUUCGUUUCACGAUCUAUGCGAUAACAAGAAUAAUAUUAUUGUCAACUAUACGAACAAUUCUCUUAACCACAUAACGGAAGAUAACAUAUACUACAAUAGGCAAGGUACUACAACAACACAACUAGCAACUCCUAUAACCAAUUUUACAACCCAAACAAUGGUACAACGAAUGAAAAGCUCGGCUACGAUUAUCAACCAUAAUUCUCCAAUCUUUUCUUUCUUUCAAAACACAUAUCAAUGACUACAACAACUAUAUACUCAAUUUAAUCCAAAAAUUUACAGCCACAACACAAUUUAGAAAAUUACCAAAUAGUCGAUACAAUAACAACGUCAAAAUACGAUUUCCAGCUAUUAACUCCAUAAUUCUCAUCCCACAAUUUAGCUAUGACAUAGACGAAUUUAAAUAUACCAAGGAGAAGAAAAUUCUUACUUUAUUUUUUAAGAAAUACUCUUAUCCACUUACUUCACAUCGAAGAACAACGAGAUCGAGGCGGUGCACAAAAUUCAUAUAUUGUCUUUGAGAAAGAUUACACUCUUCUUCCAUAAAUUAUCAACUCACGUUGAUAAUAUAUCCAUUUGAUGUUGUAUUGGUGAUAUGCAUAAAUUCCAAAGAUAAAAGGUUGCUUGAAAUUUUUCUACAUCUCGUGAAAAUGAAGGAACCAAAAUUCUUGCUGCCUAGUUUUAUUUAGGAAACACAACAUUUAACUAAAGUGCCAAGGGUUCAUAUUUG
rnacentral:lncRNA from 1 species